AACGAACGCUGGCGGCAGGCUUAACACAUGCAAGUCGAGCGCCCUAGCAAUAGGGAGCGGCGCACGGGUGAGUAACGCGUGGGAACGUACCAUUUAGUGGGGGAUAACUUCGGGAAACUGAAACUAAUACCGCAUACGCCCGAGAGGGGAAAGAUUUAUCGCUAAAUGAUCGGCCCGCGUGAGAUUAGGUAGUUGGUGGGGUAAUGGCCUACCAAGCCUACGAUCUCUAGCUGGUCUGGGAGGAUGAUCAGCCACACUGGAACUGAGACACGGUACAGACUCCUACGGGAGGCAGCAGUGGGGAAUAUUGGACAAUGGGGGAAACCCUGAUCCAGCCAUGCCGCGUGAAUGAUGAAGGCUUUAGGGUUGUAAAGUUCUUUCACCGAUGAAGAUAAUGACGGUAGUCGGAGAAGAAGCCCCGGCUAACUUCGUGCCAGCAGCCGCGGUAA
rnacentral:rRNA from 1 species